rnacentral:rRNA from 1 species
CCUACGGGGGCUGCAGUGGGGAAUAUUGGACAAUGGGCGAAAGCCUGAUCCAGCCAUGCCGCGUGUGUGAAGAAGGCCUUCGGGUUGUAAAGCACUUUCAGUGGGGAAGAAAGCCUUGGGGCUAAUACCCUCGAGGAAGGACAUCACCCACAGAAGAAGCACCGGCUAACUCCGUGCCAGCAGCCGCGGUAAUACGGGAGGGUGCGAGCGUUAAUCGGAAUUACUGGGCGUAAAGCGCGCGUAGGCGGUCUGAUAAGCCGGUUGUGAAAGCCCCGGGCUCAACCUGGGAACGGCAUCCGGAACUGUCAGGCUAGAGUGCAGGAGAGGAAGGUAGAAUUCCCGGUGUAGCGGUGAAAUGCGUAGAGAUCGGGAGGAAUACCAGUGGCGAAGGCGGCCUUCUGGACUGACACUGACGCUGAGGUGCGAAAGCGUGGGUAGCAAACAGGAUUAGAUACCCUUGUAGUC